rnacentral:rRNA from 1 species
CUGGCUCAGGACGAACGCUGGCGGCGUGCCUAAUACAUGCAAGUCGAGCGGACAGAUGGGAGCUUGCUCCCUGAUGUUAGCGGCGGACGGG